rnacentral:rRNA from 1 species
UACGUAGGGUGCGAGCGUUGUCCGGAAUUACUGGGCGUAAAGAGCUCGUAGGUGGUUUGUCGCGUUGUUCGUGAAAACCGGGGGCUUAACCCUCGGCGUGCGGGCGAUACGGGCAGACUGGAGUACUGCAGGGGAGACUGGAAUUCCUGGUGUAGCGGUGGAAUGCGCAGAUAUCAGGAGGAACACCGGUGGCGAAGGCGGGUCUCUGGACAGCUCCUGACGCUGAGGCGCGAAGGCUAGGGGAGCAAACGGG